rnacentral:rRNA from 1 species
UACGGAGGGUGCAAGCGUUAUCCGGAUUCACUGGGUUCAAAGGGAGUGUAGGCGGGUAGUUAAGUCAGUGGUGAAAUCUCCAGGCUCAACCUGGAAACUGCCAUUGAUACUAUCUAUCUUGAAUAUUGUUGAGGUAGGCGGAAUAAGUCAUGUAGCGGUGAAAUGCAUAGAUAUCGUCCAGAACACCGAUAGCGAAGGCAGCUAACUAAGGAGUAACUGACGCUGAGGCACGAAAGUGUGGGGAUCAAACAGG